rnacentral:lncRNA from 1 species
CUCUUGAAUGGUGCCAAUCUUGGCUUCCACCCACCUGGCAAACCAACUUAACCUACGCCAGCAAAAGCAACAGUUAAAGCUAAUUUAGCAGGAACAAAUGUAAGGCAAACAACUCCAGGCUUUCGGGAACAGAAAAAAGUUCUCCGGUGGAUCAAUAACUAAUUCAAAGUAGUGGACCCAGCACUCUGGAGUGGCAGCCUAUAUUCAUCAAAUAAGACUGCAACUGUUAACUCCCUACUCGCUGCCCUACCCGUUCGUCUUUGCUCCUCCUUUUCUUUGCUCUUCCGCUUCUCUCCUCCGCCUCCUCAACUUCUUUUCUAGAGCCCUCUCCUCUUUUUCCUGACCUUCCUAAAAUGGUUGUAUUUUACAGCCCUUUGCGGCUGAUGAAGGCUUCAAAACCUAAAAAGCAAACAGAUGCUCCCUAACACCUAGCUGAGAAUAUUUUAACUCACUACAAAGGCCUUUCAAAACCCCAUUCAAAAUUUCCCACCAACAAGAAGAGAACCAGUAUUUCCCUCUGGAGCCGUCCUAAGGCUGUUCUCCCUGGAGCAGUGUCGGAGCGAUUUUGGACUCUUCUCAGAGCUGCUCAGCUUGUCUGCCUUCGCCCAGUUGAGAAGCCCAUCGUGGAUUCGAAGUAUGUGGUCACUACAGACACUAGAAUCCCCAGAUUCCUCUUUUCUUUUUUUUUUCUUUUUUUUGAGACCGAGUGCAAUGGCGUGAUCUCGGCUCACCGCAACCUCCGUCUUCCAGGUUCAAGCAAUUCUCCUGCCUCAGCCUCCCGAGUAGCUGAGAUUACAGGCAUGCACCUCCACGCCCGGCUAAUUUUGUAUUUUUAGUAGAGAAGGGGUUUCUCCGUGUUGAGGCUGGUCUCGAACUCCUGACCUCAGGUGAUCCGCCCACCUCGGCCUCCCAAAGUACUGGGAUUACAGGCGUGAGCCACCGCGCCCGGCCCAGAUUCCUCUUUUCUUGAUGAAUUUGGGGUGAAUGGAGAUGAUUUCUGGAAUCAGUUACCGUAAAAGGACAGUAGCCGCUGUGGCGAUUUAGAAGUUCAUGUUUCCAUGGUAGCUAAGCGAGAGGGUUAAAUAAAAACACAGCGCCCAACGUGGGGCUCGAACCCACGACCCUGAGAUUAAGAGUCUCAUGCUCUACCGACUGAGCUAGCCGGGCACUGAUUACUGGCGUCUUCUUAUAUGGAAUCAUUUUCCACUGACGGAGCGGUUGUAUGAUCUAAUUGCAUAUUAUUGCGUGUGAAAGAAGUUUCAGGACCUAGGACUGGUGGACACGGCAGUAGCCUUUUCAUAAUAGCUUUUUGCCAUGAAGGAAUUCGGGGUUUAGAGAGCGAUGGGGGCUGCAGAGAGCCAGGAAGUCUCGCGGAGGACUCGGGAAUCACGAGUCCUGCCUGAAACCUUAGUGUUUUCCGCACAUUCCUUCCACUGAGGGAACCUCCUCACCCACUUCAGAGGAGGGUGCGAAAGAGCCCAAGGAAACUCAGAUGAGAGGCGCAAAGACCUCUCUGCAAAGCAUUUUAAUUCUCCAUCCUGGAAGAGGCACUGAGUUCCAGAGUCACAAGGGAAGGGUUCUCUCCUCUGCUCAAGUGAAGGCCAAAAGAACAACCGUGGUCCCAGCUCCGUGGGCCUCCAUAUCGCUCUAAAGCUUCCCGCCUGGGCUGCUUAGCACCUUGGUGGGCGAGCCGCAGUGUGAGCCAACUG